GAUGAACGCUGGCGGCGUGCCUAAUACAUGCAAGUCGAGCGAACAGACGAGGAGCUUGCUCCUCUGACGUUAGCGGCGGACGGGUGAGUAACACGUGGAUAACCUACCUAUAAGACUGGGAUAACUUCGGGAAACCGGAGCUAAUACCGGAUAACAUGUUGAACCGCAUGGUUCAACAGUGAAAGACGGUUUUGCUGUCACUUAUAGAUGGAUCCGCGUCGCAUUAGCUAGUUGGUAAGGUAACGGCUUACCAAGGCAACGAUGCGUAGCCGACCUGAGAGGGUGAUAGGCCACCCUGGAACUGAGACACGGUCCAGACUCCUACGGGAGGCAGCAGUAGGGAAUCUUCCGCAAUGGGCGAAAGCCUGACGGAGCAACGCCGCGUGAGUGAAGAAGGUCUUCGGAUCGUAAAACUCUGUUAUUAGGGAAGAACAAAUGUGUAAGUAACUAUGCACGUCUUGACGGUACCUAAUCAGAAAGCCACGGCUAACUACGUG
rnacentral:rRNA from 1 species